rnacentral:rRNA from 1 species
UUGAUCCUGGCUCAGAAUCAACGCUGGCGGCGUGCCUCAGACAUGCAAGUCGAACGCGAAAGUCCCCUUCGGGGGAUGAGUAGAGUGGCGCACGGGUGAUUAACACGUAGGUAAUCUACCUUCGGGUGGGGAAUAACCCAGGGAAACUUUGGCUAACACCGCAUAAUGCAGCGGCACCACAUGGUGACAGUUGUUAAAGUGGGGGAUUUUAGGACCUCGCGCCUGAAGAGGAGCCUGCGGCAGAUUAGCUAGUUGGUAAGGUAACGGCUUACCAAGGCGACGAUCUGUAACCGGCCUGAUAGGGCGGUCGGUCACACUGACACUGACAUACGGGUCAGACUCCUACGGGUGGCAGCAGUCGGGAAUUUUGGGCAAUGGGCGAAAGCCUGACCCAGCAACUCCGCGUGAAGGAUGAAAUCCCUCGGGAUGUAAACUUCGCAAGAUUGGGAUGAAUUAGUAGGGGUUAAUACCCCCUAUGAUGACGGUACCUUUUGUAAGCUCCGGCUAACUCCGUGCCAGCAGCCGCGGUAAUAAGGGCGU